rnacentral:rRNA from 1 species
AACGAACGCUGGCGGCAUGCCUAACACAUGCAAGUCGAACGAGACCUUCGGGUCUAGUGGCGCACGGGUGCGUAACGCGUGGGAACCUGCCCUUAGGUUCGGAAUAACUCCCCGAAAGGGGUGCUAAUACCGGAUAAUGUCUUCGGACCAAAGAUUUAUCGCCUUUGGAUGGGCCCGCGUUGGAUUAGCUAGUUGGUAGGGUAAAAGCCCACCAAGGCGACGAUCCAUAGCUGGUCUGAGAGGAUGAUCAGCCACACUGGGACUGAGACACGGCCCAGACUCCUACGGGAGGCAGCAGUGGGGAAUAGUGGACAAUGGGCGAAAGCCUGAUCCAGCAAUGCCGCGUGAGUGAUGAAGGCCUUAGGGUUGUAAAGCUCUUUUACCCGGGAUGAUAAUGACAGUACCGGGAGAAUAAGCUCCGGCUAACUCCGUG